rnacentral:lncRNA from 1 species
GCUGACUCUCUUUUCAGAUUCAGCCCAGUUGCACCCAAGUAAAAUAAACAGUCUUGUUGCUCACACAAAGCCUGUUGGUGGACUCUCUUCAUAUGGACUCAUGUGACAUUUGGUGCCGAAGACCUGAGACAGGAGGACUCCUUUGGGAGACCGGUCCCCUGUCCUCGCCCUCUCUCCAUGAGAUCCACCCAUGACCUCGGGUCCUCAGCCCAGCCGAAGGAACUUCUCACCAAUUUUAAAUCGGGGACGCAAAGCCAACAAGAAUGAAGAAGUGGCCAGGUAUGGUGGCUCAUGCCUGUAAUCCCAGCACUUAGGGAGGCCGAGGAGGAAGAAUUGCUUGAGGCCAGGAAUCCCAGACCAGCCUGGACAACAUGGCAAAAUCCAGUCUUUACAAAAAAAAAAUUUUUUUAAUUGCUGGGCAUGGUGGCACACACCUGUGGUCCCAACUACUUGGGAGGCUGUGGCAGGAGGAUUGCUUGAGCUCAAGAGUUCCAGGCUGCAAUUAGCUAUGAUCAGACCACUGCACUCCAGCCUGGGCAACAGAGUGAGACCCUGAAAAACAAAAAAGAAGGGAGGAAGGGGGGAAA